rnacentral:rRNA from 1 species
CGCGGUCCAACCUGCAGUCGACGGUGAAGCAGGAGCUUGCUCUUGUGGAUCAGUGGCGAACGGGUGAGUAACACGUGAGCAACCUGCCCCUGACUCUGGGAUAAGCGCUGGAAACGGCGUCUAAUACUGGAUAUGUGACGUGACCGCAUGGUCUGCGUUUGGAAAGAUUUUUCGGUUGGGGAUGGGCUCGCGGCCUAUCAGCUUGUUGGUGAGGUAAUGGCUCACCAAGGCGUCGACGGGUAGCCGGCCUGAGAGGGUGACCGGCCACACUGGGACUGAGACACGGCCCAGACUCCUACGGGAGGCAGCAGUGGGGAAUAUUGCACAAUGGGCGAAAGCCUGAUGCAGCAACGCCGCGUGAGGGAUGACGGCCUUCGGGUUGUAAACCUCUUUUAGCAGGGAAGAAGCGAAAGUGACGGUACCUGCAGAAAAAGCGCCGGCUAACUACGUGCCAGCAGCCGCGGUAAUACGUAGGGCGCAAGCGUUAUCCGGAAUUAUUGGGCGUAAAGAGCUCGUAGGCGGUUUGUCGCGUCUGCUGUGAAAUCCCGAGGCUCAACCUCGGGCCUGCAGUGGGUACGGGCAGACUAGAGUGCGGUAGGGGAGAUUGGAAUUCCUGGUGUAGCGGUGGAAUGCGCAGAUAUCAGGAGGAACACCGAUGGCGAAGGCAGAUCUCUGGGCCGUAACUGACGCUGAGGAGCGAAAGGGUGGGGAGCAAACAGGCUUAGAUACCCUGGUAGUCCACCCCGUAAACGUUGGGAACUAGUUGUGGGGUCCAUUCCACGGAUUCCGUGACGCAGCUAACGCAUUAAGUUCCCCGCCUGGGGAGUACGGCCGCAAGGCUAAAACUCAAAGGAAUUGACGGGGACCCGCACAAGCGGCGGAGCAUGCGGAUUAAUUCGAUGCAACGCGAAGAACCUUACCAAGGCUUGACAUAUACGAGAACGGGCCAGAAUGGUCAACUCUUUGGACACUCGUAAACAGGUGGUGCAUGGUUGUCGUCAGCUCGUGUCGUGAGAUGUUGGGUU